rnacentral:lncRNA from 1 species
GUGGAAUACAUAUGUGAUAUUGUGUCCUAAUUAUGAUCACUGAGGAGAGGAUGUUUCACAGAACUUUUACUUCAUAAAUGUGUAACUGUGUACAAAUUGUGAUUUCAUUCAGUGGAUAAAUUAUAUUUAGCUGUGCUCCAUGGAAUAUUAAAAUCAAAAUCAUUAAUAGUGUUUAUUAAUAAUAAUGUGAAACAAAAGCAAAAGUGUUAGGAAUGAUGAAAUGUUUUCACAUACAAAUUAGCAUAUAGAUUCAUCAAUAGGAACACUCAUUCCCUAAUUUCAAUGUUUUAUAACAAAAACAAAAAAAAUCUAUGUUAUUUGGUUAUGAUGGUAAGUUGUGACACAUUGAAAAACAUACCACAUGAAGUAAAAUAAGUCAUGUUAGCUGCAUUUAAUACACAAUUUCAAAUCAAUCAAUCAGUGAAUGUAUAUUUUAAAUUACUUGGGUUAAAUGAAAAACUUUAAGGUUUUCAGACACUGAUCAUAUAUAUAUAUUCCCUUACAAAAACAUUCACACCCCUUUUCAGAAAGUACCAAAUAAUGCUUAUUGAGGAGCAAUUAUCAAUAUUAAUUCAAUUAUCUAAUUACAUGAAGCUUUAACUGAUGAUAAAUAUUAUAAUAACUUUUCUUAUUCAGUUCAAC